UACGGAGGGAGCUAGCGUUGUUCGGAAUUACUGGGCGUAAAGCGCACGUAGGCGGCUUUGUAAGUUAGAGGUGAAAGCCCGGGGCUCAACUCCGGAACUGCCUUUAAAACUGCAUCGCUUGAAUCCAGGAGAGGUGAGUGGAAUUCCGAGUGUAGAGGUGAAAUUCGUAGAUAUUCGGAGGAACACCAGUGGCGAAGGCGGCUCACUGGCUCGAUACUGACGCUGAGGUGCGAAAGCGUGGGGAGCAAACAGG
rnacentral:rRNA from 1 species